UUAAGCGACUAAGCGUACACGGUGGAUGCCCUGGCAGUCAGAGGCGAUGAAGGACGUGCUAAUCUGCGAAAAGCGUCGGUAAGGUGAUAUGAACCGUUACAGCCGGCGAUGUCCGAAUGGGGAAACCCAGUGUGAUUCGUCACACUAUCGUUAACUGAAUACAUAGGUUAACGAGGCGAACCGGGGGAACUGAAACAUCUAAGUACCCCGAGGAAAAGAAAUCAACCGAGAUUCCCCCAGUAGCGGCGAGCGAACGGGGAGCAGCCCAGAGUCUGAAUCAGCUUGUGUGUUAGUGGAACGGUCUGGAAAGUCCGACGGUACAGGGUGAUAGUCCCGUACACCAAAAUGCACAGGUUGUGAACUCGAAGAGUAGGGCGGGACACGUGGUAUCCUGUCUGAAUAUGGGGGGACCAUCCUCCAAGGCUAAAUACUCCUGACUGACCGAUAGUGAACCAGUACCGUGAGGGAAAGGCGAAAAGAACCCCGGCGAGGGGAGUGAAAAAGAACCUGAAACCGUGUACGUACAAGCAGUGGGAGCACCUUCGGGUGUGACUGCGUACCUUUUGUAUAAUGGGUCAGCGACUUAUAUUCUGUAGCAAGGUUAACCGUAUAGGGGAGCCGCAGGGAAACCGAGUCUUAACUGGGCGUUAAGUUGCAGGGUAUAGACCCGAAACCCGGUGAUCUAGCCAUGGGCAGGUUGAAGGUUGGGUAACACUAACUGGAGGACCGAACCGACUAAUGUUGAAAAAUUAGCGGAUGACUUGUGGCUGGGGGUGAAAGGCCAAUCAAACCGGGAGAUAGCUGGUUCUCCCCGAAAGCUAUUUAGGUAGCGCCUCGUGAAUUCAUCUUCGGGGGUAGAGCACUGUUUCGGCUAGGGGGUCAUCCCGACUUACCAACCCGAUGCAAACUACGAAUACCGAAGAAUGUUAUCACGGGAGACACACGGCGGGUGCUAACGUCCGUCGUGAAGAGGGAAACAACCCAGACCGCCAGCUAAGGUCCCAAAGUCACAGUUAAGUGGGAAACGAUGUGGGAAGGCACAGACAGCCAGGAUGUUGGCUUAGAAGCAGCCAUCAUUUAAAGAAAGCGUAAUAGCUCACUGGUCGAGUCGGCCUGCGCGGAAGAUGUAACGGGGCUAAACUGUGCACCGAAGCUGCGGCAGCGACACUAUGUGUUGUUGGGUAGGGGAGCGUUCUGUAAGCCUGCGAAGGUGGCCUGUGAGGGUUGCUGGAGGUAUCAGAAGUGCGAAUGCUGACAUAAGUAACGAUAAUGCGGGUGAAAAGCCCGCACGCCGGAAGACCAAGGGUUCCUGUCCAACGUUAAUCGGGGCAGGGUGAGUCGACCCCUAAGGCGAGGCCGAAAGGCGUAGUCGAUGGGAAACAGGUUAAUAUUCCUGUACUUGGUGUUACUGCGAAGGGGGGACGGAGAAGGCUAUGUUAGCCGGGCGACGGUUGUCCCGGUUUAAGCAUGUAGGCGGAGGUUCCAGGUAAAUCCGGUACCUUUUAACGCUGAGGUGUGAUGACGAGGCACUACGGUGCUGAAGUAACAAAUGCCCUGCUUCCAGGAAAAGCCUCUAAGCAUCAGGUAACAUUAAAUCGUACCCCAAACCGACACAGGUGGUCAGGUAGAGAAUACCAAGGCGCUUGAGAGAACUCGGGUGAAGGAACUAGGCAAAAUGGUGCCGUAACUUCGGGAGAAGGCACGCUGAUAUGUAGGUGAAGCCCCUGCGGGUGGAGCUGAAAUCAGUCGAAGAUACCAGCUGGCUGCAACUGUUUAUUAAAAACACAGCACUGUGCAAACACGAAAGUGGACGUAUACGGUGUGACGCCUGCCCGGUGCCGGAAGGUUAAUUGAUGGGGUUAUCCGUAAGGAGAAGCUCUUGAUCGAAGCCCCGGUAAACGGCGGCCGUAACUAUAACGGUCCUAAGGUAGCGAAAUUCCUUGUCGGGUAAGUUCCGACCUGCACGAAUGGCGUAAUGAUGGCCAGGCUGUCUCCACCCGAGACUCAGUGAAAUUGAACUCGCUGUGAAGAUGCAGUGUACCCGCGGCAAGACGGAAAGACCCCGUGAACCUUUACUAUAGCUUGACACUGAACAUUGAGCCUUGAUGUGUAGGAUAGGUGGGAGGCUUUGAAGCGUGGACGCCAGUCUGCGUGGAGCCAACCUUGAAAUACCACCCUUUAAUGUUUGAUGUUCUAACGUUGGCCCCUGACCGGGGUUGCGGACAGUGUCUGGUGGGUAGUUUGACUGGGGCGGUCUCCUCCCAAAGAGUAACGGAGGAGCACGAAGGUUAGCUAAUCCUGGUCGGACAUCAGGAGGUUAGUGCAAUGGCAUAAGCUAGCUUGACUGCGAGCGUGACGGCGCGAGCAGGUGCGAAAGCAGGUCAUAGUGAUCCGGUGGUUCUGAAUGGAAGGGCCAUCGCUCAACGGAUAAAAGGUACUCCGGGGAUAACAGGCUGAUACCGCCCAAGAGUUCAUAUCGACGGCGGUGUUUGGCACCUCGAUGUCGGCUCAUCACAUCCUGGGGCUGAAGUAGGUCCCAAGG
rnacentral:rRNA from 1 species